GAGCGGUAGAGAGAGGCUUGCUUCUCUUGAGAGCGGCGGACGGGUGAGUAAUGCCUAGGAAUCUGCCUGGUAGUGGGGGAUAACGUUCGGAAACGAACGCUAAUACCGCAUACGUCCUACGGGAGAAAGCAGGGGACCUUCGGGCCUUGCGCUAUCAGAUGAGCCUAGGUCGGAUUAGCUAGUUGGUGAGGUAAUGGCUCACCAAGGCGACGAUCCGUAACUGGUCUGAGAGGAUGAUCAGUCACACUGGAACUGAGACACGGUCCAGACUCCUACGGGAGGCAGCAGUGGGGAAUAUUGGACAAUGGGCGAAAGCCUGAUCCAGCCAUGCCGCGUGUGUGAAGAAGGUCUUCGGAUUGUAAAGCACUUUAAGUUGGGAGGAAGGGCAGUUACCUAAUACGUGAUUGUUUUGACGUUACCGACAGAAUAAGCACCGGCUAACUCUGUG
rnacentral:rRNA from 1 species